CUGUGUGCGUGGAGUGGCCCAGGUAGUCGAGGCAGGGCUGGGCGGUGUUGAGGUGACGGGCCGCUAGGUGUGACCGGCUGUCUGGCAGACAGCCCCUCCUGGAAGGGAGAGCUGCCCCCGCCAGCGACCUGGAGACCGCAGAACGCACUCGUCACUCUCGUCACUAAUGCGAGCCCGGAACGCAGGCAUUUUCACUGGCAAUUCUGAUACCGUCACGCCAAGUUCCGCAUAGGUUUUCUGUCUGCUGCUCUUUGUAGUCUCCCGUCAGGAACAUUUAAAUUUAUCUUUUGCAGACAGGAAAACUAUGUGUCCCCAACAGCUUAUGAAGGAGACUUAGAGCUGGUUCCAGACAGCAAACUGCUGCAGGAAAACCUUGCCAUACUGGCUGCCUAGAAAUCCCGCUCCAUUUCUUAGUGGAGGCUUAUUUCCAAGAACUGCAGAAGCUUGAAAUGCUAUGAAGGCAGAGAUAGUGUACUCCAAGGAGGAAAAAUCCUCUGGGAUAAGCCAUUUGGGAAAUUCUAUCAAGAGGUGGUUCAUUAAAUUCUCCAGAAACAGAAAUGAGUAGCUAUUAGUCUUUGUAGAACCUUCUGAAAUUUGUGAGGAAAAUGCUGUUCUUAAGUGAACUUUAUCCUAUAUUCCCCU